ensembl:lncRNA
UCCCUUGCCCCUCUCCUGAACUGCUGAGACUGUAUGUGCAAGGAGAAGGAGUAUCUUCAAAGCUGCUUUCCUCCGAGGAGAAAAAAGGAAUAGGACAAAGGACUCAGCAAUGGGCAGGAGAUACACAUGGUACUCCAAACAGCUGUAAAAAAUGACGUGGACAGAAGCUGUGGAGGACUAGCAGCCCAAACACAAAGAGGCAUUCCAGGACCAGAUAUCAAUAAAGGACCCGGCAUUCAGUGUGCUGUGCACCAACUCUCUCAAAGCAUUUGAGGCAAAGAAGAGGAGGAGGUGACAGGCAUGAGAAAGUCUGGAUGAUCAAACCAGCAAGAAAGCCACUUCCAUUCUUUUAUGAAGAGACAUCCUGGAGAGACUUGCUGUACUCAAACAUUCCUGCAAUGGCAAGUACUGUAUAUCAGAGGAGACUUGUGGUAUACUGUCACUGCAGUGGAGUAUUUUGGUGAGUGGGUUGUUGUUUUUAGUUUUUUGGGGCAGAAUGUUUUUUCAGUUUUUCAGGGAUGUUAUCCCACCCUUGUACUUGGUAGCACAUGAACUGGGAUUUGAUAGUAAUAUAGGCAGUAGUAAAGCCUGAGAGAUGCUGAAGUGCUAGACUUGACACUGGAGGACAAGAGUGAAAUCACUAUGGCUGCCUCUCGGACUUUAAGCAAAAGGCACCUUUCAGUGAAGUCCAUUGGAAUUUGAAGCCAGACAUUGCAGUAUCCACG